rnacentral:rRNA from 1 species
GGACUACAAGGGUAUCUAAUCCUGUUUGCUACCCACGCUUUCGUGUCUCAGCGUCAGUUAUGGUCCAGUAAGCCGUCUACACCACCGGUGUUCCUCCUGAUAUCUACGCAUUUCACCGCUACACCAGGAAUUCCACUUACCCAUCCCACACUCUAGCCUCCCAGUUUUCGGCGCACCCUCCCGGUUGAGCCGGGAGAUUUCACACCAAACUUAGGAAGCCGCCUACACACCCUUUACGCCCAGUAACUCCGAACAACGCUUGCUGCCUACGUAUUACCGCGGCGGCUGGCAC